GAUGAACGCUGGCGGCGUGCCUAAUACAUGCAAGUCGAGCGAACAGACGAGGAGCUUGCUCCUCUGACGUUAGCGGCGGACGGGUGAGUAACACGUGGAUAACCUACCUAUAAGACUGGGAUAACUUCGGGAAACCGGAGCUAAUACCGGAUAAUAUAUUGAACCGCAUGGUUCAAUAGUGAAAGACGGUUUUGCUGUCACUUAUAGAUGGAUCCGCGCCUCAUUAGCUAGUUGGUAAGGUAACGGCUUACCAAGGCAACGAUGCGUAGCCGACCUGAGAGGGUGAUCGGCCACACUGGAACUGAGACACGGUCCAGACUCCUACGGGAGGCAGCAGUAGGGAAUCUUCCGCAAUGGGCGAAAGCCUGACGGAGCAACGCCGCGUGAGUGAUGAAGGUCUUCGGAUCGUAAAACUCUGUUAUUAGGGAAGAACAAAUGAGUAAGUAACUAUGCACGUCUUGACGGUACCUAAUCAGAAAGCCACGGCUAACUACGUG
rnacentral:rRNA from 1 species